rnacentral:rRNA from 1 species
CCUACGGGGGACAGCAGUGGGGGAUAUUGCACAAUGGGGGAAACCCUGAUGCAGCGACGCCGCGUGUGGGAAGACGGUCCUCUGGAUUGUAAACCACUGUCCCCAGGGACGAAGAUGAUGGUACCUGGGGAGGAAGCUCCGGCUAACUACGUGCCAGCAGCCGCGGUAAUACGUAGGGAGCAAGCGUUGUCCGGAAUUACUGGGUGUAAAGGGAGCGUAGGCGGGAUGGCAAGUUGGGUGUUAAAUCUACCGGCUCAACUGGUCGUCGCACUCAAAACUGGUAUUCUUGAGUGAAGUAGAGGCAGGCGGAAUUCCGAGUGUAGCGGUGAAAUGCGUAGAUAUUAGGAGGAACACCAGUGGCGAAGGCGGCCUGCUGGGCUUUUACUGACGCUGAGGCUCGAAAGUGUGGGGAGCAAACAGGAUUAGAUACCCUUGUAGUC